GUCUACCGCCAUACCACCCUGAUCAGAUCUCGUCUGAUCUCGGAAGCUAAGCAGGGUCGGGCCUGGUUAGUACUUGGAUGAGAUACAUACGGAUUUCAAGGAACUGAACAUU
ensembl:rRNA 5S_rRNA 5S ribosomal RNA